AGAUUGAACGCUGGCGGCAUGCCUUACACAUGCAAGUCGAACGGUAACAGGUUAAGCUGACGAGUGGCGAACGGGUGAGUAAUAUAUCGGAACGUGCCCAGUCGUGGGGGAUAACUGCUCGAAAGAGCAGCUAAUACCGCAUACGACCUGAGGGUGAAAGCGGGGGGUCGCAAGACCUCGCGCGAUUGGAGCGGCCGAUAUCAGAUUAGGUAGUUGGUGGGGUAAAGGCCCACCAAGCCAACGAUCUGUAGCUGGUCUGAGAGGACGACCAGCCACACUGGGACUGAGACACGGCCCAGACUCCUACGGGAGGCAGCAGUGGGGAAUUUGGACAAUGGGCGCAAGCCUGAUCCAGCCAUGCCGCGUGCGGGAAGAAGGCCUUCGGGUGUAAACCGCUUUGUCAGGAGAAAGGUUCUGGUAAUACCUGGACUCAUGACGGUACCUGAAGAAUAAGCACCGCUAACUACGUGCCAGCAGCCGCGGUAA
rnacentral:rRNA from 1 species